GGCAAAGCAUCUCUCUAGGGCUUUGGUAGUGAGCGACAACAUAACCAUCCUUGCAUCCCUCAUUGUACACCCGCUCUUCAUUUACGUAAGUAACAUGCAAACUUCCUUUCUUCAUUUCUGCUAUCCAAAUUCCCAUUGCAACAUCCUCCAGUUUGAACNNNNNNNNNGCUGACCCUUUUUGUGCCUUUUAUAAACAGCUUUUGCUAUGUCUUGUGAUACCACAUAGCCAGGGCCAUGUGCCCAAGGUGGAUAAAAACUCUCAGGCCAUUC
rnacentral:misc_RNA from 1 species